GAUUCCCUUCGUAAAUCAGCCGGUGGGACUCAUGUGGGAGGGCCAGAAAACAGACGAGAAAGAGAAGGGAGGAAGAAAGGAGGACAAUCACCUUCAUUUUCCUUUUCCUACUCAUCUUUAAGGACGAUGCCAUGAGUAUGCCCCUGUAGCUUCAGGAAUGGCCCAGUCCAACCGCCUCAAUCUUUUCACUGUUUCGCAGCACUCUGGGACAAGGUUCUGCUUCCGAGGUCACCUCAGCUUGUCGCCAAGACUUUAACAGAGGCUGUUCAAGACAGGUUAGGAAAGGUGAGUGAAAUACAAAAGCUUGGAGGACCUAUUCCUUUUACAAACGAAACAAAAUCGCGUGAAACUGAACAUAAGCAGGCCUCGUAAAGUCCCACAAUCACUGUCCCAACACUUUUCCUGAGGCUUUUUUUUUUUUUUUAAUAUCUUAGGCCCCUGGUGAGGGUAGAUAAUUAAUAUUCUACUGGAAGCUGGUUGAGCCUAGCUCUUGGCUGCCAUCUUCGUUGUGCUUAUAGGCUGAUUUGAGAUCUUUGUUUCUUUUUGUUUUUCUUUCCCUUUCUUCUCUAGCUUCCUUCCCAUGCCCCUUUCCCCUUUUUAGAGACAGUCUAUUUUUCCAAGGCUGCUUGUGCUAUUCCUUGGCUCAAGCCACUGGCCUAUGGGAAUACAUUCACAUGCCCUCAAGCUGGACUAAACCUCAGCUUCUGUAUAAUAAUAUGACAAUAUUACUAUAACACUAUAUUAACAAUAAUAUGUGAUAUAAUAUUUGGUUAUAGUACUACAUGUCUGUUAUGGAAACAUGCAGGUGAGGAGUGAAGGAUGUCCCUGCUUCCGUAUUUAACUGGGAGGGAGGCAGAUAAAGAGCUGAAGAUGAAGGACUGGAAAGACGGCUCAGUGGUUUAGUGCUGUUGCUCUUGCAGAGGACCACAGUUCAAUUCUCAGCACCCACAUGGUUGCUUGAUAUCCACAACUCCACUUCCAGGGAGUUCCAAUUCCAUCUUCUGACCUCUGCGGGUACCAGAUACAUACAUAGAUGGAGGCAAAACAUUCAUACAGGAGAUAAAGUCUCUACAUUUGCCCUGGCUGUCCUGGAACUAUGUAGACCAGGCUGGCUUCAAACUCAGAGAUCUCCCUGCCUCUGCCUCCCAAGUACUGGGAUUAAAGGAGGCCACCACCAUAGCCCAGCCAAUGGCAAUUCUUAACCAAAUGAGGCCAUUUCGCUCAUUUAUAUACCUACAUAGAAUUAAGUCAUGAGUAAGUAGAAAGUCUACUUCAAGAUUUCUGUUUAGCCCUACACGUACAGGUGAAAACGUCUUUGCAUUUAUGGUUUUGUCUUCCAGUUCUUAUCCGGAGAGGUUGGGUGUUUUGUUUACUUACCACCACAUAUGUUGCAACUUUGUUUCUACUUGCAUUCUGACAGUGUCAUUUGUUUCUGCAGUGCUGGGCAUGUGUGCCUUAUGCGUGCUAAGCAAGUGCUAUACCACUGGGCCCUAUCCAGACCCUGCUCCCUUUUUUGAUCUAGGUACUCAAACUGCAACCCUGUCUGAGACUCCCAGGUAGCUAGGAUUAGUGGUCUAAUUUUAUCUAGACUGAGCUCCUAAGGAAGAAGUUCUCAACCUCCCUUUGAUAUACAGUUCCUCAUGUUGUGGUGACUCCAACCGUAAAAUUAUUUCAUUGUUACUUCAUAACUAAUGCUACUGUAAUGAAUCAUAAUUUAAGUAUUUCUGGAGACAGAGGUUUGCCAAAGGGGUUGAGAGCCCCAUGCUGAGAACUGCUGUCCUAUAGGAAGGGAAAGGAUUUACCUUUGCAUUCUAGAUAUCCAAAGUUUCUACCACAGGAAAACGCAUAUGUUGAUACAGCAAUCAGAUUGAGUUCAGAGCAGAUAUGAGAAUUUAGUAGGGUAUAAGGGAGAUUUAAGAAAUUGUAAGGGUUGGGGAUUUAGCUCAGCGGUAGAGCGCUUGCCUAGUGAGCGCAAGGCCCUGGGUUCGGUCCCCAGCUCCGAAAAAAAGAAAAGAAAAAAAAAAAAAAAAAAAGAACUGGGUCGCAGACACAUUUAUUUGGGCUGGAGAGAUGGCUCAGUGGUUAAGAGCCCCGACUGCUCUUCCAGAGGUCCUGAGUUCAAUUCCCAGCAACCACAUGGUAGCUCACAACCAUCUGUAAUGGGAUCCGAUGCCAUCUUCUGGUGUGUCUGAAUACAACUACAGUGUACUUAUAUAUAAUAACUAAAUCUUUAAAAAAAAAAAGAAAUUGUAAAACGGGGUUGGGGAUUUAGCUCAGUGGUAGAGCGCUUGUCUAGCAAGCGCAAGGCCCUGGGUUCGGUCCUCAGCUUGGAAAAAAAAAUCUUUAAAGAAAUUGUAAAACAAAACAAAAAAAAAAGAAAAGAAAAAAAAAGAAAUUGUAAAACAAUUAUUUCACUGAUGUUUUAUUUGGGAAGGUAUAUUUUUCAAAGUGAAUAAACUUAAAAUAUUUUAAAUCC
ensembl:lncRNA